CAGUCGCCGCGGUAAUACGUAGGUGGCAAGCGUUGUCCGGAAUUAUUGGGCGUAAAGGGCUCGCAGGCGGUUUCUUAAGUCUGAUGUGAAAGCCCCCGGCUCAACCGGGGAGGGUCAUUGGAAACUGGGAAACCUGAGUGCAGAAGAGGAGAGUGGAAUUCCACGUGUAGCGGUGAAAUGCGUAGAGAUGUGGAGGAACACCAGUGGCGAAGGCGACUCUCUGGUCUGCAACUGACGCUGAGGAGCGAAAGCGUGGGGAGCGAACAGGAUUAGAUACCCGAGUAGUCCCUGUCUCUUAUAC
rnacentral:rRNA from 1 species